GGAACCAUUGAUCAUCUUCAUCUUCGGGCUGCACUUGGUAGUCAGACUUCGGUAAUUUCAGCAUAUCAUUGCCUAUAUCCUAUAUAUAAGGGCUCGUUUGACUUUGAGCUCUUCUUGAUGUCAAAGUGCAAAUCCUUUCGAUGACCUUCUUUCUUCCCUUUGUCUUUGCUACCUUUAGGAGGUCUCCGACUUCUAUCUGCGACAUUAGCAUAUGCGUGCCGUUCAAUCAGGUUUGCCCUGCUUCCAGUAGCACGUUGAGAGAGUUCAUCGAAAGUAGUAGGGCCUCCAGCAAUAAUCAAGCCCGAGCGCAAUUCAAUGCGGAUUCCCGCAAUACAAAUUUUUCCCAAUUUCUCUUCUGGGAUAGAUUCUGCUAACCGAUUUCGUGGGAGAAAGGCUUGCUAAUAAACGGGAUCGUUCCCAUAGCUCAACCGACUCCUCGGGUUCCUUUUUACUACGCCGUAAAUCUUCCGACGUGAUAGAUUUCCUCAAAGAACGGGAGCAUAAUAACUCAAACAACUUGUCUCAGGACCUAAUAGAUCUUGCUUUCAGUCUGGAGAACCAGCGGAAAGCGUUCUUUCGGAGCGCGCUAGGGAACUGCUUGAUAAGCAGCUUUUUAUGUUGAGCGAUAUCAACGCAUUGUGUCUGAAAUUUGGCUAAAUGCUCGAAAUGAGCGAUAUCUUCUUUUGGAUCACCAGUCUCGUCAAAUGUAUCAAACUUCGAAGGGACGUAGUCUCGCGGGAACGCUUUCUUGGCCAUGCUGUCAUCAUAUGGCCUCUUAUAGCUCCUAUGAUCCUCAUUUAUAGACUGCGCUGUGGUGGCGAUGAUCUCCUUAACUGCAUCUUUCCACUUUUGAUCUGCAACGUCCAUCACGGACGAAGAAGAGGUCGGCUUUCGAGUAGUAGGGUGGUGGCAUAUCCAUGAUUGCCUUGGCCUUGCAGUUCUUCUUGUUGUAAUGCACUAGUCAGAGAGAGUCCUAGUUUGGGUUUUCCUGCUGUGAUGUAAACCUAUAAAAAAGGGGCAACAUGCUUCGUUUCUUAUAGCAUGAUUUGGAUUCUCCUCUCAUUUUUUUAUAUGAAUAGGGGAAUUU
rnacentral:lncRNA from 1 species